CUUGCUUAUUUUGACUCUUGUCCAUAACAUAAGAAAAUGUCUUUUUGAACUUUUUUGUUCUUCUUUUUCCCCUCACUGAACCCUCCCAUGGAGAGCACACUUCAUCUGACUCACUGGAAGGCAAAAUUCUAUGAGGGUGCUGUCAGUCAUGUCCUUAUGUCAUGGAGUCAGAAACCAUCUUAGAGAAGAGGACCCGAAAAACCAGGAAAACAAGGCAGGAAUUUGCUGGCAAGAAUAGAGUGGAGGAGUGAGAGAAAUAUUUAUAUAGUAGAGACUCAUAUAUCAUUCCCACAUUUAAUUUAUGUGUGAGGCCUUAGGCGCUCCUUAGUCCAUGUUCUGCAAGAUGAGCUCCAUCUGGGAGUAGGCUUCCUUUGAAACCUAAUCUGCAACCAUCUACUAACCCAAGUUUUAUUUUUUAACAUGGAUUUUUGCCUUCGCAAGUUUUCCAAUAUAGUUCCAUUGCUGCA